AAUCCUCCUCAGAUUACACACUAAAACUCUUCUCAGAUUCAAGUGUGUUUCCAAACAAUGCCUUUCUCUCAUUUCUGCAUCUCCCACACUCGCUACCACCAAACCAUUGGCUUCCUCAGCCCCACCGCUCUUCUUCUUACACUUUACCCUCUGAGUUUGAUGCGGUUCCUCUGAAGCAUAACGGCAGAGUCAGAGUCCCUUUCUUUGAUUAAUUGAAUUCUGCCCCUAGCAUCGAUGUUCUUCAGUCUUGUUAUGGGUUGUUUUUUUGUAAGUCCGAGGUCGGAAACCUUAAAAACGUCAUCUCUAGAGAAUGAACCAUUGACGAUGCCAAUAUCGACUAUGGAAGCACCUCAAAUGUGCAGUUAUAUGGGGGAGUGUCGAGGUGUUUUAUAUGUUUCAGUGACUUCUUUGUCCUUACGAGUUGAGAAUUUGAUGUAUUUGAGAUGGCAAGUGAUUAUUCCCACUGGACCCUAAAGCACCUACUGUAUAUUGGGGAAAUUGAGAGGGGAUUUCCCAGAUAUAACAUGGCCUAUGAUGCUCCUGUGCAUUACCAAAGGUUGUGGUGUGGACAGAGAAUAAAGGAAUUUUGUUUGCCUUCAUGAUGUAAGGUCCGUGAGAUGAUACUUCACUUUAUCAAACUCUGAAUGCCUAUCAGUACGUUGAGAACCUGACUUGUGUUUGAGGUUGUAUCCCCAGUAUCUAAGAAACUAUUUCAUAUAUUAUAGUGUAUUGAAUAACUAGAACUCCUUAAGCCAAUUCAAUAACUAGAAAUAAAGGCUAUUCUAUUUAUGUGUGUAAGCUAAUUGACAUGUAAUCCUACAUAUAUGCA